GAUGACCCAUGAAACAUAUUUUUCAUCCAUACUUUAAAUGUAAAAAAGAUGCAUCCAUAUUGCAUAUUGGAUAUGCAAGAUAUCCUUUGGUACUUCAUCCAGAUAAACUUUCAUAUAUCGAAAAAUCAUUUAUGGUCCAUAGAAUCGAAGCAUGCAACUUAAAAUUACUUCGACUCACAGAAUCAUAUAUCUGUACCCCAUUUUCCCAUAACUCCUUC
rnacentral:lncRNA from 1 species